UGCAGUCGAACGAUGAAGUACCUUCGGGUAUUGUAGUAGUGGCGUACGGGUGAGUAACGCGUGGAUAAUCUUCCUCUAGGUGGGGAAUAACCAGUCGAAAGACUGGCUAAUACCGCAUAAGACCACAAGUCCUUCGGGGCAAGGGGUUAAAGGCGAAAGCCGCCUGGAGAUGAGUCUGCGCCCGAUUAGCUAGUUGGUGAGGUAACAGCUCACCAAGGCGACGAUCGGUAGCUGGUCUGAGAGGACGGCCAGCCACACUGGGACUGAGACACGGCCCAGACUCCUACGGGAGGCAGCAGUAGGGAAUAUUGCACAAUGGAGGAAACUCUGAUGCAGCGACGCCGCGUGAGUGACGAAGGCCUUCGGGUCGUAAAGCUCUGUUCUCAGGGAAAAAGCAAGUGAUUGUACCUGAGGAGAAAGGACCGGCUAACUUCGUGCCAGCAGCCGCGGUAAGACGAGGGGUCCAAGCGUUGUUCGGAAUCAUUGGGCGUAAAGCGGGUGUAGGUGGCUCUAUAAGUCAGGAGUGAAAGCCCCGAGCUUAACUCGGGAAGUGCUUUUGAUACUGUAGAGCUUGAGUGUGGGAGAGGAUCGUGGAAUUCCAGGUGUAGUGGUGAAAUACGUAGAUAUCUGGAGGAACACCGGUGGCGAAGGCGGCGAUCUGGCCCAACACUGACACUGAGACCCGAAAGCAUGGGGAUCAAACAGGAUUAGAUACCCUGGUAGUCCAUGCCAUAAACGAUGAUCACUUGGUGUUGGAGGUAUUGACCCCUUCAGUGCCGAAGCUAACGCGUUAAGUGAUCCGCCUGGGGAGUACGGUCGCAAGAUUAAAACUCA
rnacentral:rRNA from 1 species